GUGUAGUCCACGCUGUGUAUAGCUAUACUGCUGUGUAGACCACGCUGUGUAUAGCUAUACUGCUGUGUAGACUACACAGAUCUUCAGGUGGAUAGACAGUUGAAAAGGGAAAUGGUGGGGUUUAUUUUAAUCUUCAGUCUACUGUAAUAAAUUGAAUAGCAGACUCCAAACAUAUUUGUGAGAAAUCUAUUCAUGUGUGAGGUAAAAGCACUAUUUUGCCUCCAUUUUGAUCACAAAUAAAAUUGUCAUUCUGUUUGCAAGACUUUCAUUUUCAGGUGAGGGAGGUGAAUUUUGCCACAAUAUGUUGCUUAUGUUAAUAGCAAAAUAAUGAAAUUGAUUUUAAUUUUUAAAUGUAAACAAUCAAUGCAAAUCAUCCCAGUAGUAAAAAAGACACAGUGAUAAAGAAAAAAAAAAAAACAUACCUGUAAUUUUAAUGGAGGUGAAUUUUGCCACAAUAUGUUGCUUAAGUUAAUAGCAAAAUAAUGAAAUUGAUUUUAAUUUUUAAAUGUAAACAAUCAAUGCAAAUCAUCCCAGUAGUAAAAAAGACACAGUGAUAAAGAAAAAAAAAAA